UCCUGACCAUUUUUGACGAGUCUUGGGUGGUGUUCAUUCGUGACGGGUCCUAGACAGUGUUCAUUUGUACCUGUGGAGGGUCAAGGUUAGGGUUGACUCUGGUAGAUCUUUUUUGUAAAACAGGUUUUCCAAUUUCUACAAGAAAAAUCAAUGGGCCAUGAUUCCUUCCCCUAUAUGCUAAAUUUAGCAAAAAUGACCGUUUUGCAAACGUGGUCCCUUCCCAAUUCCAAAUGAAUUUUGAGGUUGGGGAGGACUAUUUUAUGACACUUGACAAACUUGUCCGUUCUUUUACAAAAAUAGCCCUUCGACAACUGAAAAUACUCUAAGGCUAUCUCAGCAAGAACGGUUUUUAAGACAUUACCGAAGUUGGGUCGGCUUAUUUUGACCAAAACUCCAAAGUACAUUUACUUGACCGCUAACUCUCUUUUUUCUUCUUUUUUCAAAAAUAAACCCGAAUCUUAUGUAGGUUGUCUAUGUAUCCCACAUCCGGUGAGAACCAGACCUGCGUAGUUCGGUCAAUUUUGACACAUUUGAAAAGGACAGUAUUGACUCAUUUUGAAAUGACUCUCUUUCUUUUCCCCCUUCUUUUUUUUGAAAAAUUUUGUCAUAGUUUCGGGACAUUUCCAAAUACCAAAGAUUUUUCAUAACCGGGUUUUAUUUCCUUCCCCACAUCACUCUUGGUUUUUCUUUUGCUUUAUUUUCCUAGUGGGUCAGCAUCCAAGCCGAAUCAAAUAAAUGUUCACAUAACACAUAAGAUGCAUUAGGAUGGUCUGUUAUUUUGGGGCACACCUGUCCUAGACGGACCCAACCCCUAUGUUGAGUCCCUUAAGUCAAAUGCACGUGAUGCAAACAAGCGUUCCUACUAGGAAUCCGACAUUAGGCUGUGUUUUUCUAGGUUUAAAUCCUGGGGUUGUGCUCUAGACUUGGGGUUACCUGAGCUGAAAACUGGGGCCGAAGAGGGGGCGACGUACAAGGAGCACUAAAGUCUACCCGGCCUUGUCACUGGUCCAGCCUCGUUCUAUUUGGUAUAAUUUCUAUGGGAAAAACGGGACAUGCAAACAUGUGCCCCAUUUUCAGAAGACUUAGAGGGGUGGCGUAAGAAGACAGUUAUAUACAAUUCAAAAAAUAUUAAAGCGGUAAACAGAUAGCAUUUAGCACAAAAGGUUCACAGAAUACAGUAAUAUCAACAAUAAAUAAAGCCAAGCAAAAUCAUAUUAUCAAGCUCAACUUCUAAACUCUGAACCAGAGAUUUUAAGUUCUUAUCCUCAGUAGAGUCGCCAGAGCUGUCACAGCUCCAUUUUAAUACCCCGAAAGGAGUAUAAGCGAGUUUUUCAAAUUAAAGUGAUGAUCGAAACAGGAUUAUUUUAUUUAAAAUUCAGAGUUGCCACUUGGGAUAAUUUAUGGUGUCCCAAGUCACCGGUUUAAAAUCUUGAAUCGACGAAGUUUGACUCUGUUUACGGUCCGCGAACACAGAAAUCCAGGUAAGGUAUUCUGUUAACCCGGGAGAAGGUGUUAGGCAUUCUCGGGUUCCGUGAUUUUAGCACGGUCGCUUUGAUCAUACUUGGCUAGUUAAAUUGUCUAAUUACUUAUUUUAUAACCUAUGUGCAUUUGCCUAUUUUAAUUAAGAAAUUAUCUUGUAACAGGUCACGCGUAUGUGUACCCAUUUAUUUGGCGCGUCAAAAAUCGUGUCACGCGAACGUGUCCACAAUUAGUAACACUUUAUAUUUAUUUUUUAAGAAAGUUUGACCGAAGUUGCGCGAACGCAUACUCCGAUUUUAUUGUUAGAAUUGUAAUCAUGUCACGCGAACGUGUACACCACCACGAUAAUGGAUUAAAAUGUAUGGCUCAAGUUUUAUACCACAGGGUCCUUGCAUAUGUCUAUGUCGCAUUUAAACUUCAAAUAAUCAGGUUCUUACCAUCCCAUGGCCCAAAAUAUUAGCUAAUAGUCCGUUUUAUAAUCUAGCACAUUAUUAAUUAAACCCAGGUCCAAACUAACUCUUCAAAUCAGUCCAUCCUAAAAGACCGAAUCUUUGAGAUAAUCACAGCUCCAUUCUUAAUCAUCUUCAUUUUUUACAACUAAUACUUCAUGAAACUUUAGAGCUUUUCUCCAAAUUAUAUUAAACUAAUAAUGAAUAAUGAAAAAUUCAAUCAUUAACUAAUCAUGGAACUAACUUUCCUAUAAAACUAAACCAUUAAAUAUAACUAAAUUAUUUUAAGAAAACUACCCAAGAGCAGAAAAAAUAUUGUUGCUUAUGGAUUAAAAGGGAGCAAACAUGUUCUUGCUAAACUUUGAACAAACAAAAGAUGACAAACUAAUGGACAAAAAUAAAGAAAACCUGCUCGAACGGAAAAGAAGCAGUAGCGCUGGAACCUUGCCAGCAACUCGAACGAAACCGACCUCACUCAAACUCCAUCUUGGAAAAGCGAAAAUCUGAAACAAGGAAGAUGAAACAGAACUUUUUAUGUGCUCUGUUUAUAGUUGUCUUGUGAGUUAAUUUUGGAUGUUAGAAUAGUGACAAACUGAUUUUUGACGGAGCUUAGGACGGAAAGAUGAUGAGAGAUUUUGCUUUCUCUGUUUUCAACAUCUCUUUCCCCGGUGCCUUCUAUUUCAUCUUCUCACUCCAUGUGUGUGCGCGUGUGUGUAUUGAUGCUGGUUUGAUAUAGUAGAGGCAAAGAUGGGGUCGUUUUGUGUGAGGUAAGAGGUUUUCCUAAAGGUCCAUGGCUGUUGUAGCUGUGAUUGAUGAAGAAGAAGAAGCAGUGGCGAUGGGUGGUCGUUGCGGUGGUGUUGCGUGUGGAACUGGUGAACUUUGGUUGUUGCUGAAGGUUUAGGGAUGAAGAAACUGGGGUUCAAGCCAUGGGGAUGUGAAGGAGAGGAGGAGGGUCGUAUGGGGUGGGGUUCGAAAUUGUUCUCUGCUGCUUCUUUAGAUUCUCAUUUUGUAUAUGUUCGUCCAAAUCUAGAAGAAGAAAGGCGGAUAGCUAUAGGGGUCUAGGUAUUUUUUAGGCUAAUUUUG
rnacentral:lncRNA from 1 species